rnacentral:rRNA from 1 species
ACGUAGGAGGCAAACGUUAUCCGGAUUUACUGGGCGUAAAGCGCGCGUAGGUGGUUUGGUAAGUAGAGCGUGAAAACUCCUGGCUCAACUGGGAGAGGUCGUUCUAAACUGCUGGACUAGAGGAUGAUAGAGGGAGUUGGAAUUCCGUGUGUAGCGGUGAAAUGCUCAGAUAUGCGGCGGAACACCAGUGGCGAAGGCAGCCUCCUGGAUUACUCCUGACACUCAGACGCGAAAGCUAGGGUAGCAAACGU